GCCGGGUAUGGUGGUGUAUACCUGUAAUCCCAGCUGCUCAGGAGGCUGAGGCAGAAGAUCACAGAUUCAAAGCCAGCCUCAGUAACUUUGUAAGGCCUUGAGCAAUGUAUUGUGACCCUGUCUCAAA
rnacentral:sRNA from 1 species